rnacentral:rRNA from 1 species
AAGUCGUAACAAGGUUUCCGUAGGUGAACCUGCGGAAGGAUCAUUACCGAGUGUAGGGUUCCUAGCGAGCCCAACCUCCCACCCGUGUUUACUGUACCUUAGUUGCUUCGGCGGGCCCGCCAUUCAUGGCCGCCGGGGGCUCUCAGCCCCGGGCCCGCGCCCGCCGGAGACACCACGAACUCUGUCUGAUCUAGUGAAGUCUGAGUUGAUUGUAUCGCAAUCAGUUAAAACUUUCAACAAUGGAUCUCUUGGUUCCGGCAUCGAUGAAGAACGCAGCGAAAUGCGAUAACUAGUGUGAAUUGCAGAAUUCCGUGAAUCAUCGAGUCUUUGAACGCACAUUGCGCCCCCUGGUAUUCCGGGGGGCAUGCCUGUCCGAGCGUCAUUGCUGCCCAUCAAGCACGGCUUGUGUGUUGGGUCGUCGUCCCUCUCCGGGGGGGACGGGCCCCAAAGGCAGCGGCGGCACCGCGUCCGAUCCUCGAGCGUAUGGGGCUUUGUCACCCGCUCUGUAGGCCCGGCCGGCGCUUGCCGAACGCAAAUCAAUCUUUUUCCAGGUUGACCUCGGAUCAGGUAGGGAUACCCGCUGAACUUAAGCAUAUCAAUAAGCGGAGGAAAAGAAACCAACCGGGAUUGCCUCAGUAACGGCGAGUGAAGCGGCAAGAGCUCAAAUUUGAAAGCUGGCUCCUUCGGGGUCCGCAUUGUAAUUUGCAGAGGAUGCUUCGGGUGCGGCCCCUGUCUAAGUGCCCUGGAACGGGCCGUCAGAGAGGGUGAGAAUCCCGUCUGGGAUGGGGUGUCCGCGCCCGUGUGAAGCUCCUUCGACGAGUCGAGUUGUUUGGGAAUGCAGCUCUAAAUGGGUGGUAAAUUUCAUCUAAAGCUAAAUACUGGCCGGAGACCGAUAGCGCACAAGUAGAGUGAUCGAAAGAUGAAAAGCACUUUGAAAAGAGAGUUAAAAAGCACGUGAAAUUGUUGAAAGGGAAGCGCUUGCGACCAGACUCGCCUCCAGGGUUCAGCCGGCAUUCGUGCCGGUGUACUUCCCUGGGGGCGGGCCAGCGUCGGUUUGGGCGGCCGGUCAAAGGCUCCCGGAAUGUAGUGCCCUCCGGGGCACCUUAUAGCCGGGAGUGCAAUGCGGCCAGCCUGGACCGAGGAACGCGCUUCGGCACGGACGCUGGCAUAAUGGUCGUAAACGACCCGUGU